rnacentral:rRNA from 1 species
UUCGAGCAGGUGCGAAAGCAGGUCAUAGUGAUCCGGUGGUUCUGUAUGGAAGGGCCAUCGCUCAACGGAUAAAAGGUACUCCGGGGAUAACAGGCUGAUACCGCCCAAGAGUUCAUAUCGACGGCGGUGUUUGGCACCUCGAUGUCGGCUCAUCACAUCCUGGGGCUGAAGUCGGUCCCAAGGGUAUGGCUGUUCGCCAUUUAAA